GGAGGGGGCUGUGGGGGCACGCGCGUGCCGCUGGGCGCGUGCCGCGAGCGCCCCCCUCCCCUUCACCCCCGCUCCCGGCGGGGUCGCGCGCGCGCCGGCGCGCGGCGGGAAACGGGCGGCGCGCGCUCCCUGAGGGCUGAGGCGGGCCCGGCCCUGAGGGGAGAGCGGCGGGACGGCAGCGGGAACGGAACGAACGCCAGACAGAAUUGAUCCUGUAUCCAGUCUUUAGAAUGGACCAGCACAUGAACAGCAAGGAACUGUGUGACCCUCUUGGAAUUGUGACAAACCUGUACAGCCCACAACUGGUUCACAUUUUGAAGCAGAGGAGAUCCAGGCUCCACAGCUCUCUGUGACAUGGAGAGCAGCACUGUGAAACCCUGCUCUCCUCACAUCGCAGGGAGGAGUGUGAGAACUGAUCACACUGAAGACUCAAAACCAACUGAAAGGUACAGAAUGGCAUGUUUUCUGGUUUAUUCUCUAUUUCUGUUCUCAUUCUUCACACUUGGUUUGCUUUACUGAAUGCCACUAAGCAUUGAGCUGA